UAACACAUGCAAGUCGAACGAUGAUUAUCUAGCUUGCUAGAGAUGAUUAGUGGCGGACGGGUGAGUAACAUUUAGGAAUCUGCCUAGUAGUGGGGGAUAGCUCGGGGAAACUCGAAUUAAUACCGCAUACGACCUACGGGUGAAAGGGGGCGCAAGCUCUUGCUAUUAGAUGAGCCUAAAUCAGAUUAGCUAGUUGGUGGGGUAAAGGCCCACCAAGGCGACGAUCUGUAACUGGUCUGAGAGGAUGAUCAGUCACACCGGAACUGAGACACGGUCCGGACUCCUACGGGAGGCAGCAGUGGGGAAUAUUGGACAAUGGGGGCAACCCUGAUCCAGCCAUGCCGCGUGUGUGAAGAAGGCCUUUUGGUUGUAAAGCACUUUAAGCAGGGAGGAGAGGCUAAUGGUUAAUACCCAUUAGAUUAGACGUUACCUGCAGAAUAAGCACCGGCUAACUCUGUGCCAGCAGCCGCGGUAAUACAGAGGGUGCGAGCGUUAAUCGGAAUUACUGGGCGUAAAGCGAGUGUAGGUGGCUCAUUAAGUCACAUGUGAAAUCCCCGGGCUUAACCUGGGAACUGCAUGUGAUACUGGUGGUGCUAGAAUAUGUGAGAGGGA
rnacentral:rRNA from 1 species